rnacentral:rRNA from 1 species
CCUACGGGUGGCAGCAGUGGGGAAUAUUGCACAAUGGGGGAAACCCUGAUGCAGCGACGCCGCGUGAGUGAAGAAGUAUUUCGGUAUGUAAAGCUCUAUCAGCAGGGAAGAAGAAAGACGGUAGCUGACUAAGAAGCCCCGGCUAACUACGUGCCAGCAGCCGCGGUAAUACGUAGGGGGCAAGCGUUAUCCGGAUUUACUGGGUGUAAAGGGAGCGUAGACGGCUGUGCAAGUCUGAAGUGAAAGCCCAAGGCUCAACCCUGGGAGUGCAUUGGAAACUGGGGAGCUAGAGUGCUGGAGAGGUAAGUGGAAUUCCUAGUGUAGCGGUGAAAUGCGUAGAUAUUAGGAGGAACACCAAUGGCGAAGGCAGCUUACUAAACAGUAACUGACGUUGAGGCUCGAAAGCGUGGGGAGCAAACAGGAUUAGAUACCCGAGUAGUC